rnacentral:rRNA from 1 species
UACGGGGGGGGCAAGCGUUGUUCGGAAUUACUGGGCGUAAAGGGCUCGUAGGCGGCCAACUAAGUCAGACGUGAAAUCCCUCGGCUUAACCGGGGAACUGCAUCUGAUACUGGAUGGCUUGAGUUCGGGAGAGGGAUGCGGAAUUCCAGGUGUAGCGGUGAAAUGCGUAGAUAUCAGGAGGAACACCGAUGGCGAAGGCAGAUCUCUGGGCCGUAACUGACGCUGAGGAGCGAAAGCAUGGGGAGCGAACAGG